CUUCAAUUCUGAUCUUAGCUGCUGCUUUUCCAGGCUUUUUUUCCACUUUUACAGGUUUGAUACAUUCCUGAAGGAGAAAUAAAGCCCAAAAGUGAGGAGAUGAGCAACGAAGAGAAGGAACACUUUUCCAGCAUCAUACCAAAACCAGAGGACAAUGUUGCUGUUCCUUCUGAAGAACACAGCUAUGCUUUACGGAGCCUUGAAAGGAACAGAAGCUUGCCUGCACAGUCCUCCUCGCUAAAAUCUUACAGAUGAUCCUGCAUUCUUCAUUGCAAAUUUUAACCGAUGGAGGCGUGGUCACUACAGUCAACAUGUGGCUAGUGCCAAUGAAGUUUCAUUUAAUGUCGAAAGGACUCUGACGACCUCAGAUGGACUGCUUCCACUCUUCUAUAUUGUUCUAUGAUGAAGUCUCAAGGGUGUUUGCGCUUUGUGCAAUUUUUACUGUUGAGGCACCUUAUGACUCCUUGUCCUACUUCUACAGCUAGGAUUCUCUCCACAUUUUACCGUCCUUGCUCUGCCAACAUCUUCAGGUUCCCCCCCCUAAAUUAAUCCAGCUUUACUACAUUUUGCAAGAUUUGGAGACUAGCAGGAACAAGUCAUUAUGAUUCUUCAGUUAUGCUCACCAAAUAAAACAAACCAUGAUCUCUA